GAGUAACGCGUGGGUAACCUGCCUCAUACAGGGGGAUAACAGUUAGAAAUGACUGCUAAUACCGCAUAAGCGCACAGUGCUGCAUGGCACAGUGUGAAAAACUCCGGUGGUAUGAGAUGGACCCGCGUCUGAUUAGCUAGUUGGUGGGGUAACGGCCUACCAAGGCGACGAUCAGUAGCCGGCCUGAGAGGGUGAACGGCCACAUUGGGACUGAGACACGGCCCAAACUCCUACGGGAGGCAGCCAUG
rnacentral:rRNA from 1 species